rnacentral:ncRNA from 1 species
CCCGUCGCGCGACGGGCCGGGAUGUGGCCGCACACGGCUGAACCACCAA